CCUCUCGCGUUAGGAUAUGCCCAGGUGGGAUUAGCUAGUUGGUGAGGUAAGGGCUCACCAAGGCGACGAUCCCUAGCUGGUCUGAGAGGAUGAUCAGCCACACUGGAACUGAGACACGGUCCAGACUCCUACGGGAGGCAGCAGUGGGGAAUAUUGCACAAUGGGCGCAAGCCUGAUGCAGCCAUGCCGCGUGUAUGAAGAAGGCCUUCGGGUUGUAAAGUACUUUCAGUCGUGAGGAAGGUAGUGUAGUUAAUAGCUGCAUUGCUUGACGUUAGCGACAGAAGAAGCACCGGCUAACUCCGUG
rnacentral:rRNA from 1 species